rnacentral:rRNA from 1 species
CGCUAGCUACAGGCUUAACACAUGCAAGUUGAGGGGCAGCAUGGUCUUAGCUUGCUAAGGCCGAUGGCGACCGGCGCACGGGUGAGUAACACGUAUCCAACCUGCCGUCUACUCUUGGACAGCCUUCUGAAAGGAAGAUUAAUACAAGAUGGCAUCAUGAGUCCGCAUGUUCACAUGAUUAAAGGUAUUCCGGUAGACGAUGGGGAUGCGUUCCAUUAGAUAGUAGGCGGGGUAACGGCCCACCUAGUCUUCGAUGGAUAGGGGUUCUGAGAGGAAGGUCCCCCACAUUGGAACUGAGACACGGUCCAAACUCCUACGGGAGGCAGCAGUGAGGAAUAUUGGUCAAUGGGCGAGAGCCUGAACCAGCCAAGUAGCGUGAAGGAUGACUGCCCUAUGGGUUGUAAACUUCUUUUAUAAAGGAAUAAAGUCGGGUAUGCAUACCCGUUUGCAUGUACUUUAUGAAUAAGGAUCGGCUAACUCCGUGCCAGCAGCCGCGGUAAUACGGAGGAUCCGAGCGUUAUCCGGAUUUAUUGGGUUUAAAGGGAGCGUAGAUGGAUGUUUAAGUCAGUUGUGAAAGUUUGCGGCUCAACCGUAAAAUUGCAGUUGAUACUGGAUAUCUUGAGUGCAGUUGAGGCAGGCGGAAUUCGUGGUGUAGCGGUGAAAUGCUUAGAUAUCACGAAGAACUCCGAUUGCGAAGGCAGCCUGCUAAGCUGCAACUGACAUUGAGGCUCGAAAGUGUGGGUAUCAAACAGGAUUAGAUACCCUGGUAGUCCACACGGUAAACGAUGAAUACUCGCUGUUUGCGAUAUACGGCAAGCGGCCAAGCGAAAGCGUUAAGUAUUCCACCUGGGGAGUACGCCGGCAACGGUGAAACUCAAAGGAAUUGACGGGGGCCCGCACAAGCGGAGGAACAUGUGGUUUAAUUCGAUGAUACGCGAGGAACCUUACCCGGGCUUAAAUUGCAGAUGAAUUACGGUGAAAGCCGUAAGCCGCAAGGCAUCUGUGAAGGUGCUGCAUGGUUGUCGUCAGCUCGUGCCGUGAGGUGUCGGCUUAAGUGCCAUAACGAGCGCAACCCUUGUUGUCAGUUACUAACAGGUCAUGCUGAGGACUCUGACAAGACUGCCAUCGUUAGAUGUGAGGAAGGUGGGGAUGACGUCAAAUCAGCACGGCCCUUACGUCCGGGGCUACACACGUGUUACAAUGGGGGGUACAGAGGGCCGCUACCACGCGAGUGGAUGCCAAUCCCAAAAACCUCUCUCAGUUCGGACUGGAGUCUGCAACCCGACUCCACGAAGCUGGAUUCGCUAGUAAUCGCGCAUCAGCCACGGCGCGGUGAAUACGUUCCCGGGCCUUGCAC